GGAUUCAGAGUUUGCAAUGGCCAAGCUGAUGCACUAAAAUGAAUGCUGUUAUCGUCUGUGUUGAAUGCGGAGCUUUAACAUCAUUGUUAGUUUAGGCACCAAGGGUAUCUUCUCAAAGGAACAAGAGAAUAUUGUUCAUUCACUCUGGAGUAAAAGCAUGCAGGCACUCAACCUGUCGAAACCACGCUGGGCUGUGCUGAGCUCUGAACUGGAAAAUGCUGACUGCCUCCCUGCAGUUUUGGAUUGCUGAAAAUGAAGGCUUCACUGUGACUGACACGCUCAUCAAAAUGAGAAUCCUUCUUGCCUGGGGAAACUGUGAUACCUGUCAAAUGGUGGAUUUCUUUUAAUGUUGCUGUCUCAAAUGCAUGUCAGAGCAAAUGCCAAGUCAUAACAUCAGUUAUAACCUGGAUGUUAGACGCCUCAUUCCUCUUAUUUACCUAAGGUUUCAAAAGAUGCCUUCACUUGUCUUUCUCGCUUUCUUUAUGUUGAAAAUCCAUCUUGUGACAGUUUUUCCAUCUUCACAUUUUCAAUAAAUUUCAUGUUUAUCAUUUGAUUGACUGCUUUUGUGUGUGUGUCAACGUGUGAAAAAUCUUCACGGUAACUUGCAUUUUUUAAAGCUUUAAUUUUUCUAGACUAAUAUGAACAGUUGACUGUUGAAGAGGUCAACGCUAAAACCUCCUACAACACCAUCACAGUUUACCCCUCCAAUGCAACACAAUCUUAGUAAAUCCGUGCUCAAAAAACGUUGCCACUCAACGUGUUGAGUCUAUUACCUCAUAUAAGGCACAUUUUGCCCCAAACUGCUGCACAGCUGUGUCAUUGCUCUGCCACAGCACCUAAAAACAAAAGUCUUCAUCUAUCUGAGGCCAGAAU
rnacentral:lncRNA from 1 species